rnacentral:rRNA from 1 species
GACGAACGCUGGCGGCGUGCCUAACACAUGCAAGUCGAACGGGGCCGGGGGCAACUCCGGUUCAGUGGCGGACGGGUGCGUAACACGUGAGGAACAUGACUUUCGGCGGGGGAUAGCCGGCCCAACGGCCGGGUAAUACCGCGUACGACCUCUCGGGGACAUCCCCGGUUGGUGAAAGCAGCAAUGCACCGAAAGAGUGCCUCGCGGCCUAUCAGCUAGUUGGUGGGGUAACGGCUCACCAAGGCGACGACGGGUAGCUGGUCUGAGAGGAUGGCCAGCCACAUUGGGACUGAGACACGGCCCAGACUCCUACGGGAGGCAGCAGUGGGGAAUAUUGCGCAAUGGGCGAAAGCCUGACGCAGCGACGCCGCGUGUGGGAUGACGGCCUUCGGGUUGUAAACCACUGUCGGGAGGGACGAAUGCGCCGCAAGGCGAGUGACGGUACCUCCAAAGGAAGCACCGGCUAACUCCGUGCCAGCAGCCGCGGUAAUACGGAGGGUGCGAGCGUUGUCCGGAAUCACUGGGCGUAAAGGGCGCGUAGGCGGCCUGAUAAGUAGGGGGUGAAAUCCUGCGGCUUAACCGCAGGGCUGCCUUCUAAACUGUCAGGCUCGAGCACAGUAGAGGCAGGUGGAAUUCCCGGU